rnacentral:lncRNA from 13 species
GUUUAAGAGAAAUAAAUCAAAGAGAAAAAAUGUCUUUGGCAUUUACCCAGAGAUCUAACAUUUUCAGCGUUCUUUCUUCUGCUCUGAGGAUCUAAGUUUUCAUCCUAUAUCAUAUGACUUUAGCCUGAAUAACUUCCUUUAGCAUUUAUUUUAGUGUGGUACUGUUGACAGCACAUGCUCUUAAUUUGUUAUAUCAAAAAUGUCUUUAUUUUUCUGUCAUUCUUGACAAAUAUUUUUACUAGUUAGAAAAUUCUAGUUGGCAAGAUUUUGCUUAUUUGCUUGGUUCAGCUCUUUAAAGAUGUGUUCCAGUCUUUUAAUGGCCUUCAUGGUUUUCAUGAGAAGUCCCUAACGUAAUUUCUAUUGCUGUACAUUUAAGUUCAUGUAGUUUUUCUUCUGUAAUAUUUAUUUCUCUGUUAAGUCCAUUCAGCGAUUUUCAAAUUUCAAUGGUGUAUUUUUUCAGUUCUCACCUUUCCAUUUGGUUUUUCUUUAUAUGUUCUAUUUUUUUGUUGGACAUUUAUAUAUUUAAAAAUGUAUUGUACACUUAUUUUACUUUGUUUUAUUUAGAAAAUUUAAAUACUUAAUUACAUUAACUGUUAUCAUAGUACUGAAAUAUGAUGUGAUUGUAUUCUUAGCAUUAAUAUAGUUAACUCAGCAGUUGGUGGUUCUAGCAUUGUGUUCAUUUAGGGAUUAAGCAAGGUCAAUGGUCUUGAGAACAUUUUCAAUUUUAUUGGUUCUUUAGACAGCAGGUAAUUUUGGAUUAUAUCCUAGACAUUGUGAAUAUAAAGUUGUGAAUAUUCAGGAUUCUAUUUUUUUUCCAACUAGUAUUGUUCUUCUUCCUCCUCCUUUUCCUUCUCCUUCUUUGCAGGCAUUCAAAAAGAAUCUGGACACAAAGGGAAACCCUGGCUUUUUGGGUGGUAGCUUUGCUUUCAGCUCAGAAUUACGUGUUGCUGUUCCUGCAGAAAUCCUAGAGACUGCUCUGCCCCAGCAAACAGACUUCUGCAGAACGAGCUGCUGUACCUAA